rnacentral:rRNA from 1 species
AUUGAACGCUGGCGGCAGGCCUAACACAUGCAAGUCGAGCGGAUCGGCGGACGGGUGAGUAAUGCCUGUGUAUCUGCCUGUGAGUGGGGGAUAACGUCCGGAACCGGACGCUAAUACCGCCUACUAUCACAUGCGCCUAGGGCGGAUUAGUUAGUUGGUGGGGAAGGGCCUACAAAGGCGACGAUCCGUAACUGGUCUGAGAGGAUGAUCAGUCACACUGGAACUGAGACACGGUCCAGACUCCUACGGGAGGCAGCAGUGGGGAAUAUUGGACAAUGGGCGAAAGCCUGAUGCAGCCAUGCCGCGUGUGUGAAGAAGGUCUUCGUAUUGUAAAGCACUUUAAGUUGGGAGGCGUUACCAACAGAAUAAGCACCGGCUAACUUCGUGCCAGCAGCCGCGGUAAUAC